UUUCUUUGUCCUGUGUGUCCUGACAGAUGACAUUUUCAAGAAAACAGGUUAAGAGCGCCUAGACCUUCAUUUAGCUUUCGAGCCAAAAGAUCCUUUAUCUCUCAUCAAUCCCUCUCUCUCUGUGCCUGGUACAUUUGCCGAAAUGCCUAAGAGGUUCUGCAUCUCGAAGAUGAGAGAGAGUUCUGGCCUAAGGCGGUCUUUCUAUAAAAACUGUGAUUGACUGAGAUCUCUUCCCUAGGAGUCUCAUAAAAGAGUAGAUUACGUCACUACGCCGACAGACAUCAACUUGAACACCAUCGCUCAGCUAGUGAGCCUCGAGCCUGCCUUCCUAAGCAUCUGAGCACAGGCACCGCAUCAAGCCACCAGCAACGAAGAUGAAGCCGUUUUUAGAGAAGUUCCUUUUGGUUCCUCCAGCGAUCCAGGAUCUAGCGAUUCCUUGUGUACACUCACCUUACAGAAGGUGACAGGCACACAAGGAGGAAAUGUGAUGCUACUGCUGCCUAUGGUACAAAAAUAAAGGGGCGUCUGCAUAUCUAUCCGGGGAGUUGGUUAAAAAAUAAACACUGGACUGGCUGGUCCUCUUCCUCGGUC